rnacentral:rRNA from 1 species
GACAGAGGUGCCAAGCGUUAGGCGGAGUCACUGGGCUUAAAGCGUGUGUAGGCGGGUGCCUAAGUACCUUGUGAAAUCCCACGGCUCAACCGUGGAACUGCUGGGUAUACUGGGUGCCUUGGGUCAUCUAGGGGCUGCCGGAACAAAUGGUGGAGCGGUGAAAUGCGUAGAGAUCAUUUGGAACGCCAACGGCGAAAGCAGGCAGCUGGGGAUGCACCGACGCUGAGACACGAAAGCCAGGGGAGCGAACGGG